CGUGGGUAACCUGCCCAAGAGAUCGGGAUAACACCUGGAAACAGAUGCUAAUACCGGAUAACAACAGAUGAUGCCUAUCAACUGUUUAAAAGAUGGUUCUGCUAUCACUCUUGGAUGGACCUGCGGUGCAUUAGCUAGUUAGUAGGGUAACGGCCUACCAAGGCGAUGAUGCAUAGCCGAGUUGGGAGACUGAUCGGCCACAUUGGGACUGAGACACGGCCCAAACUCCUACGGGAGGCAGCAGCG
rnacentral:rRNA from 1 species